rnacentral:rRNA from 1 species
AUUUUAUGGAGAGUUUGAUCCUGGCUCAGGAUGAACGCUGGCGGCGUGCCUAAUACAUGCAAGUCGAGCGAACGGACGAGAAGCUUGCUUCUCUGAUGUUAGCGGCGGACGGGUGAGUAACACGUGGAUAACCUACCUAUAAGACUGGGAUAACUUCGGGAAACCGGAGCUAAUACCGGAUAAUAUUUUGAACCGCAUGGUUCAAAAGUGAAAGACGGUCUUGCUGUCACUUAUAGAUGGAUCCGCGCUGCAUUAGCUAGUUGGUAAGGUAACGGCUUACCAAGGCAACGAUGCAUAGCCGACCUGAGAGGGUGAUCGGCCACACUGGAACUGAGACACGGUCCAGACUCCUACGGGAGGCAGCAGUAGGGAAUCUUCCGCAAUGGGCGAAAGCCUGACGGAGCAACGCCGCGUGAGUGAUGAAGGUCUUCGGAUCGUAAAACUCUGUUAUUAGGGAAGAACAUAUGUGUA